CUCGCCAUGCUGUACGUCACUUCCCUGUGACUUCUUUUAUAACUGGACAUUUGUACCUUCUGACUCCCUUUACCCAUUUCACCCACCCCCUCCCCACCCUUCACCUUGGACAACCACCAGUCUCUUACUGGUUUUAUCUAUGAGCGUGGUUGUUGGUUUCUCGUUUUUACAUUUCACAUACAAGUGAGAUCACACAGUAUUUGUCUUUCUCUGACUUUGCCUUCAAGGUCUAUCCAUGUCACAAAUGGCAAUAUUCCGUUCUUUUUUUAUGGCUGAAUAAUACUUCAUUGUGUAUGUGUGUGUAUAUACAUAUGAAAAGAUAUAUACAGAAAAUGUAUAAAAAUAUAUGUGUAUAUAGGUACACAUAUUUGUAUAUACACAUGUCUAUAUACACAUAUAUAUUCUUGUAGUUUUAUUUUUAAAUCUUUGAGGAACCUCCACACCAUUUUCCACAGUGGCUGCACCAGUUUGCUUUCCCACCAGCACAGCACAAGGGUUCCCUUUUCUCCACAUUCUCACCAACACUUGUCUUUCUGAUAAUAGCCAUUGUAACAGGUAUAAGGUGAUAUCUCAUUUGUGGUUUUGAUUUGCAUUUCCCUGAUUGGGGAUAUUGAGCAUCUAUUCAUCUAUCUGUUGGCCAUCUGUGUAUCUUUAGAAAAAUGUCUAUUCAGAUCCCCUGCCUAAUUUUUAUUUGGGUUUUUAGUUUCUGCUAUUGAGUUAUAGGAGUUAUUAUUUUUUUAAAAGAUUUUAUUUAUUUGAGAGCGAGGGCACAAGCAGGGGGAAAAGCAGACUCCAUGCUGAACCCUGGGAUCAUGACCUGAGCCGAAUGCAGAUGCUUAACUGAGCCACCCAGGCGCCCUGAGUUAUAGGAGUUUUUAUUUUUAAAAGAUUUUUAUUUAUUUGACAGGGAGAGCACAAGCAGGGGGAGCCACAGGCAGAGGGAGAGUCAAGCAGAGGGAGAGUGAGAAGCAGGCUCCCUGGCUGAGCAGGGAGCCUGACAUGGGGCUCUUGAUCCCAGGACCCUGGGACCAUGACCUGAGCUGAAGGCAGACACUUAACCGACUGAGCCACCCAGGCGCCCCUAUAGGAGUUUUUAAAUAUAUUUUGAAUAUUAACCCCUUAGUAGAUACGAUUUGCAAAUACUUUCUCCCAUUCAUCAGGUUGCCUUUUCACUUUUUGUUGGUUUCCUUUGCUGUGCAGAAGCUUUUUAGUUUGAUAGUCCCGCUUAUUCAUUUUUGCUUUUGGGGUAUGAUUCAAAAAAUCACCAAGAUAGAUGGCAAGGAGCUUACUGCCUAUUGGUUUCAGGUCUUACAUUCAAGUCUUUAAUCCAUUUUGAGUUAAUUUUUGUGGGUGUAAGACAGUGAUCUAAUUUUCCCAACAGCAUUUACUGAAGAGACUGUCUUUUCUCAAUUAUUUAUUCUUGCCUCCUUUGUCAUAAAUUAACUGACCAUACAUCCAUGGGUUUAUUUCUAGGCUCUCUAUUCUGUUCUGUUGAUCCAGAGCAUACUGUUUUGAUUAGUAAAGAUUUGUAAUAUAGUUUGAAAUUAGGGCACGUGAUGCCUCCAGCUUUGUUCUUCUUUCUCAAGGUUAUGUUGGCUAUUUGGGGUCUUUUAGGGUUCCAUACACAUUUUAGGAUUUUUUUUUUUUUUAAGAUUUUAUUUGAGAGAGAGAAUGAGAAACAGCACAAGAGGGAAGAGGAUCAGAGGGAGAAGCAGACCCCCCGCUGAGCAGGGAGCCUGAUGUGGGACUCGAUCCCGGGACUCCAGGAUCAUGACCUGAGCUGAAGGCAGUCGCUUAACCAACUGAGCCACCCAGGGGCCCCAGGAUUGUUUAAUUUUUUGUAAGAUUUAUUUGGUUAGGGGGAGAGGGGCAGAGAGAGGAGUCUUAAGCAGACUCCACGCUGAGCACGGAGCCUGAGGCGGUGAUCAAUCUCAUAACCCUGAGAUGAAACCAAGAGUUGGUUGCUAUUCCCAGGCACCCCUUAGGAUUGUUUUAAAAUAUGCCAUUGGAAUCUUGAGAGAUUGCACUGAUUCUCUAAGUUGCUUUGGGUAGUGUGAAUAUUUUAAUAUUCUUCCAAUCUGUAAACAUGGAGUAGCUUUCCAUUUAUUUGUCUUCGUUUUCCUUCGUUAAUCUGAGAGUUUUCAGUGUACAGGUCUUUCACGUCUUUAAAUUUAUUCCUGGGUAUUUUGUUCUUUCUGAUGCCAUUGUAAAUGGGAUUGUUUUCUUAAUUUCUCUAGUUUCUUUAGUUUGUGCGUGUACAGAAAUGCAAAAGAUUGCUGUAUACUGAUUUUGUGUCCUGUAACUUUACUGAAUUAGUACCAACAUUUUUUGGUCUUUAGGGUUUUCUAUAUAUAACGCCAUGUUCUCUGCAAAUACUGACAGCUUUACUUCCAGACUUACAGCCUUUUCUUUUUCUUGCCUAAUUGCUCUGGCUAGAACUUCUAAUACUGUGUUAAAUAACUUAAAAUUUGACAUUAAAAGCAAAGUGGCCCCAAGAAAGAAGUUUAAAUGUUGAACACUGAGUUCGUGGACCAACUCCCUUCUUUUUAUGGAGCCCCCUGUGGGUAAUGGAGGCAUCAGAAACAGUUCGAAGUUACUGCUGUGGAACAGAACUCAAAACUUAAGAGGUUCAAACAGGGGGCGCCUGGGUGGCUCAGUCGUUAAGCGUCUGCCUUCGGCUCAGGUCAUGAUCCCGGGGUCCUGGGAUCGAGUCCCACAUCGGGCUCCCUGCUCGGCGGGAAGCCUGCUUCUCCCUUUCCCACUCCCCCUGCUUGUGUUCCCUUUCUCGCUGUGUCUCUCUCUGUCAAAUAAAUAAAUAAAAUCUUUAAAAAAAAAAAAAAAAAAAAAAAAAAGAGGUUCAAACAGUAAUCAUUUCUUUCAUGGUUUCUAUGGAUUAGGAAUGUAGGAAAGGUUCUCCUUGGCAGUUCUGACUCAGGGUAUCUGAUGCAUUUGCAGUUACAGUGGCUAGAGCCAGAGUAGCAGGAGGUUAGAACACUAGGGACUGGCCAGGCAUUUCUCUCUGCUUGUCGUUUCAGGGUCUGUGUGGGCUGGUUUGGGCUUCAUCACAGAAUGUGGCUUCAGGGUGUUUUUUUAAUGUGGUGACACACGGACUACCAGCCUACAUAGCUUGUAUGUUCUAACAAACCAGCUGUAAGCUGUGUUGCCUUUUAUGAUGUAGCUUCGGAAGUCUCAUAGCAGUACUUUUGUCAUAUUAACUAGUCACUUCUUGAUCUAGGCAAUGUCAGACUUUACUGAUCUUUUACAACUGCCACAUCUACCCUCAAGAAGCCCAUCUGGCAUGGGAGGCCAAGACUAGUCCAGAUACCACCACCAAGAGAAUACCAAAAGACCUAAUUACCAUAGGAGAGAUGGCAGAUUUUCCUUCUUGCUAAUACCUACCCUUCUCCUGAGCGGUAUUACAGGAGUUUGCAUGAGUCUCCAACUUGGAAAUAUCAGGUAACUAUAAGCAGAUUUGACUUGGCUUUAUUAGUUGCUCGAACCAUUGCCUGAAUGGAGCACAGUGUCUUAGUGGUACCUAUUGUGUAGAUCAGUAUGGUCCAGAACUUUCUGUGAUGAUGGAAACGUUCUGUGCUGUGCAGUUGGGAUGCUACCUAACCGUGGCCAUUGAGCGUAUGAGAUCUAGGGCUAGAAAUGUACUUUUAUUUAAAUAACCACAUGUGCUUAGUGUAUUGGCCAGUAAGGCCUAGUUGAAGGAUUUGACAAGUGAAAUAGGAACAGAGUUGCUAGGGCUGGCACAGACCCCCAUGUGUACUGUGGGAACCCAGAGUAAUGGGACUAGCCACACAGUAACACCACCCUGAUUCAGGUUUACUGACUGAAUCUGAAGGAAUAAUAUAUAGCCAGGGAGACCCCUGUUGAAAAAUACUAUCCAAGACCUUGAACUACGGGACGGUGGCAAGAGCCAGCCAGGAGAAAAUGUCUGGGCUGGUGAGGGGAUUCCCAGCUCUAUCUCAGCUGGGCAACGAGAGGUUAAUUUUUAGCCACAGAACUUCCUUUUUCAAAUGGAAACUUCCACAGAACCCUACUAUCAAUUGUUGUAACUUGGAGCUCUCUGAGUUCGAGGCAGGGGUGGACACUCAGUGGCUGUGCCUCUGCGGUCCUAGAAAUCCUAGAAAUGGUAACAGGAAAUUCUUCAUCCCUUAAAAAUCUCUCUCCAAGCUGCAGCAGGUCUUGAAACCAGAAACCAGUAAUGAAGCUUCAUGUUUGUUUGAAACAAAUUUAUUCUCAGAAUAAUGCACAAAAGUAGAGGUUGAGGCUACCUUUGGGAGGCUUCCCCCCCUCCUCUCUGGCUGCCGGGGAGAACAGAGCUGAAGGAAACAUGCAAUCACAAACAAUGAUCAACUCUAAAGACAAAAAAGGUUUGGUCCAAAAGAACUCAACAUAAUUAAUCCAAUUACUGUGAAGAGCUUCACUGAGUAGGAUUAAGAUCUUGCAGAUGUAGUGUUUCCACAGCGUGGCUCUUCAGUGCACCAAGGGGGCCUGCUUGAGGGAGAUGAGGACAGAGCGCAUGCGGGAGACGUCUUUGGCCUGCUUGCUGGACUUGGGGUUAAAGUCACACAGCCGGGCCACCCGUUCCCACUCAGUGCCUGGGGACGACUCGUCUAUGUCGUUUACAAAGGCUUCUUCUGCUGCCCUGGAAGCAACAACACAGUAUGUUGGUUUAAUGCAGAAUCCCCCCUGUGAGCUACCUGGCGGCUGCCUUGUGACAGAAGUGACUGCCUCUUCAUGCCUGACUUCCUGGCGUUCUGGUUUUCCAAAGAGGAACAGCCCCUGGCUCAGGUCAGACUCGGGAGCAGACCUGUGGCCAGUUCUCCUAGGCACGGGGUGCCCGGACCGCUGUGUAAAAUGUUGGAAUACAGGUGUUUGGUUCAGGGCUCACUCUCUGUCAAUACAGAGCGUUAGAAAAGCAAGUCCUUAGCCAGCUAUGCACUGCCUUCAGCAACAGGAGCAAAGCAGCAGGCCGGUCAGGAAUGUGCACAGGAGUUGAUGGUGGGCUCUACUGAGGUUCAAGUGAAUUGAGAGGCUUCUCAAAAGCCCACCGGUCAUUGCACGAUAGCCUCUGGAUUUAUUCCUAAGACCGUAGAGAAACAGGGCAAAUCAAAAGGAAUUCAAGACACAGCUCCCAUGCGAGCAGGCAGGAGAGACUAAAGCCAUUCUGGAACAUUCUCCAGUUGAGCUGCAAGUUGGCCAUUUUCCCUCCAGCCAGGUGCCUUGGGCCACUCAGGGCGCGCUCUGGAAGGGCUGGGUGCCCGAUGGCUAAAGAGCCCAUCAGUGUUAGCUGCUUUUGCGUAGGAGGCUGCUCCAACAUUCUUUCCCAUCAAGGUCAGCCCACCCCCAGCUGGGAACUGGUGGGAGCUACAGCCCGAAAGGACAGCGGAAAGAGGCGGGAAGACACACUAUAUUCAUCUACUCCAACAAGCAUCACGGGCGAAGCGAAAGCGAUGGAGAUGACCGGUCUGUGGGGACGGAGGGGUGGCACGCUCACAAGGAUGGCCGUGGCAAACACUGCUGCAGCCCGAGCCACUACAACACUGCGACUUCAUGGCACACACAGGGGCAGUGAGAAAGGUUUACUUAACUGUUCUAGGCUGUAGCAAGGAUGGUUUAUGUUUGUGCUUAAAGGUGAAGAGAAGAAAAACGAGAGAAACUUUAGGUCAGAUAGAGAAAAUGAGAAUGAGCUCAAUGCAGAUGGUCAGUAAGCUAGACAUGCCCUUGCCACUCCAUCUACACCUGGGAACGUGCAGCUGGCUUUGCUGGGCCACCCUGCUGCCCAGCAAACCCAGACUCGACCUUUCCAGUCUCCAGUUCUACUCCAGAGAGAAUGUGCAAAAAUCAAUCCAACAGCACCUGUAAGUCCAGCAUUUCACAAAUCUCAUUGCAAAUGCAUCUGGGGACCCAGGAAACCCCACUCUGUAUUCUAAAGGGAUGAACAUGAGGUCACAGGCCCCAAGAUAAGAUGCUCUAUAGACAUGAACCUGUCGUCCACCCUUCCCGCCUAUGGUCCUUCCUUCUACCCUCAUCUCCCUUACAUCAAAAUGGAGUCCUAAUUUUUGAGGAAACAGCAAGCACUGUUUCCAAGUCGUCUUCAGCAAUACUGCUUUGAAUACAAGAGUCCAAUGUUUUUCCAGAAAAGAUGCAGUUUUCUUUGGGGGAAAAAGCCAUCGUGGCCUAUCAGACAGCUUUGGCUAUCCCGACCUUAAAAAGCUGGGGCUUCUUUGUGCCCAAGUGGGCAAUUUCCCACAUCAAUAGAGAAACACAGGAUUCCUCCCUGCCGCCCCCCAUGAGACAACCUCCUCUGCUCCCAAGGGAGAAGCAACCAACCCCACAUGUUCUUCAAAAGAACCAAAUGUAGAAAGUGCUGCCCCACCCUGGCUCCCAAGCAGGGGACAGCAGUGGUGGCAGCAACAGCUUACGAGCCCACCCCAGUCCCAAAGCCUUCCCCAACCAGGUCACAAAUGACCCACACUUUAAAAGGGAAUCCACUUCCUUCCCUCCAAAACCCCAAAUGUGGAAAAAAGGCUCUCAGAGUUAAAGGGAGUCACGCUUCUACACGACAGUCGAUGGAUCAUAUCCCCAACCUUCUAACUCUUAGGCAGUCCCCAGAGUGCCAGUUUGAAAUAAUUUAGAAAGCAGAACAACUUGUGACAUAACAGGAGCAUUAACUCUAAACAAAAGGAAUCAAAACAGGAAAAAGAAUUAGUUUUGCAACAUACACAUAACCAAUCACGUCAGCGAAGGGUUGUUUGUAGAAAGCUUCAUCUGCCACCCUAGACAGCAAGAGGUCCAAAAGGCAGGCAAGCAGGCAGGAAAAAAGAGAGAACAUUGAGAAGCAGAAACAUCUCAAAUCCAUAAUAGAGGCACGACUGUGCUCUGGGGCGCUGCUCCCAAGGCUGAGUGCUCACCCAGGGAGGCUUCCAUUCAAGCGCUGGAGACUCCAGCGGGCAAGGUUCCCCGUGGGCCUACCCCUGGGGAUUCUCCUGGGUGAGCCCUGCCAAGCCCUUCCCGGUGUCAUCCCUGCCACAGCGAGCAGGUCUUGGCACCCACUUCCAGGGAAGCCCUUGUAGAGCUACUGCGUCCACUUGAUCCAAUCCUCAACCCCAGCAACCUAGGGUACCGUGUUCUCAUCGACACUGUACAGGUAACAGGAGGCCUGGGCAGGAAGCCCCUUGCUCAACCCCAGGUGGCAGCAGAACUCCCAAGCAAGCCUGCCUGGCUCUUUUCACCGGACAGUAAUGCUGCCCCCCCAGCUGGCGGGUGCUCAGGAAGCCAGGCCACCUUCCUGCAGCCUCCGGCAGGCUCACAAGGCAUCACGCUACGCGCCAAAGCCACUUCUGUCUUGGAUUUCCGACUCCUGCUUCCCCGCCCUGACUGAAUAGGAUCACUUUUCAGUCAUCUGGGAACAGAUGUGGUCAUUUCAAAAUCCCCACCUUAGAGGAAAAAGUUGCUGGAUGCAAGUGGUCUGGUGCAAAGAACUGCAGCCAAGAGUCCUGGCUCUGGCCUCCUGUCUGUCCCUGAAGAUGCUGGUCUGCUCAGUCCAUGCCAGAUGGGACUGCUGUCACAAGGUGCAGACCUUCACUUGCCAGAUGGGACUGCUGUCACCAGGAACCAGACCUUCACUUAACCCUAACUCAUACCAUACAUGGGUCAAAAUGGCAGGCCUCUGGGACAAAAAGGAAAGCGGGGGGGGGGGGGGGGGGCAUGCUGGGUGGAAGAGUUUCCAACCCAGGGGACAGGCUGGCUUAGACCUUAUUGGCCCGGCCAGCCCACCACAACCACUGUGGGUGGGCAGGGAACCUCCCUCCAGGAGUUUUACCCUGUCCUUCGCCAGGUUGGUUUGGAGCAGAGAAGUAGAAGGGACGUUUUUAAGGAUGAUCAUGCCUGCUUAUUAACCUAGGCUCCCUUAUGUGAAGGGAAAUUCUAGUAAUUUUAUUUCAGUUUAUUUUUAUUUAAACUCACACACAGCCUUCCUUCUUUCCCAUUUUGGUUUAUACAUAGGUGGUGGUUUGUGGAAAUUUAAAGAAAGCAAAAAGAACAGCCUGAUUGUAACUCUAAGUCAGCAGGAAAAUAGUUGUUUGUGGAGAGAAUGAGUGGGUGGGAAAGGAAAAGCAGGCCAGCUUGUAAACCCAUAAUCCUUUUAGUUUACACAAAGGGCUAAACGUAAUCGAUUUCAAAGAAAAUAAAGGUUGAAUGACUACGGUCCAAGGCAUCACUAAGACAACAAAAGCUUGAAUGGCAGGCUUCCACUCCUUUGCAGCUAGCCGCCCCAAGACUAUGGAACUGUCAGUGACAGCAUAGCCCCAUCCAGGUAUAGACAAAUGGAGCAAAUGGGAAACCAUGAUCACCAUAGGCGGCCCCUCUAGCUGUUUGUUCUUCACUCAUCAGAGGGGCCUGAAAGCAGCAAUCCUCAGGGAAGCCUGAGGGAAAUGGGGGGAGGAGGAGGAACGUGGGCCUGACCACAGGGUGCUCAAGCAGUGACCCACAUAAAUAGUGCCCAGUGGGCGUGGAAAAAAUAUUUGCCAUCACAGAGAAUCAGGGGUUCCCCAAACUUUUAUAAAUCUUGAAAGAUAAAAAGUUAGCACCAGAGCUCCCUGUAAAAGGGGUAAUGUUUCUGUCACGGUUUGCAAGGACACAUGGUCUGGGUCUGGUCUCAGGUCCACACUGUUCUGACUGGCUCCCAUGGAGUGUCCCCCACCCCCCAACAGGCUGUCACUAAUCAUUCACGGCUCUUGUGCAGCAAUAUUUGGGCCCCGAGUUGGGGUAAAAGGAAGGAGAUGCCAACUGCAGAGGAACACCAGACUACAGAUGCCAUGAAGGCAAGAUCUGCUGACUGUCAUUCGCCCACUGCCCAGCACCAUGCCCGGCACAGAGGUGCUCCUGAGGUUUUAGGUCAGGGCAUCUGAAGGCAGGAGGCCUUUGCUCCCCACCACAUCUCUUCUCUCAAACUGCUUGCUCUGCCUUAGCUCUGUAGGCCACUUAAACAUCCAGCUGCUGCACAAGUCAUCCAGAGGAAGACUGAUACUUGAAAGGAGCACUCUAUUUUCUCCUGAGAUUCACUAUUUACCUAUAGACAGCUCUUUUACAUAUAUAAAAGGACUUACUCCUUUAGUCCCAUGGGACGCCAUUUAGAGAGUCAAACAUGGAGGGCGAGUGGUCAGCGAUGUCAAAAUCUCCAGGGGAGGGGCUGUACCAUUGGAAGGAGUCCCCGACGGUUGCUCUAAAUGGCUCCUGCCCCAGCCCAUGAAGAGUAAGUGGGAUAAAGCGUCAAAACCAUCCCUUCUCUCCUGGAACCCUGGUGACAAAGGCCAGUGUGCCACUAGUUUGACACGGAGUCUGCCCUAUGCCUCAAGGUUUCUGCAAGGCAAGGGACCUGGUUUGGGAAAAGCUGUGCAUUCUCUGUGAGUGGCAAGUGUAAGUCUCUUCCCCUGUCUGGAACUUGGGAGGUUCAUCUAGGAGACCACCCUACUCAACAUUCUACAGUUCUAAGGUACCAAAGCCCUAAAUCCAGGCCUGGAGGGACUAAACCUUGGAGACUGAGCUCCUUAAAACAGGUGUGCUUAUUCGCUCCAAGGACAACGGAUGCUGUAUAGAGACAGCUCCUUUCUUUACAGAAGGGAUACAGUUUAGCAAAACUGCAUUAGAAGCCUAUUCCUGACAGGCAUUUUUUAAGUCUGAGAAUCUAUAUGUCAACCUGUUUACCCAUCAGGGAUCCUGAACAGGGAGGGUCAGCCUGGUUUUACCAAGUACUUCAGGGCAGAAUGACUCAUGGGCAACUUGCUAGGAUCAAAGGGGCCUCACACAGGGCUUGCACAAAGCACCCACUCAUCUCCCUUUAGAGAUCUGAACUUGUACCUGGGGUCAGUCAUCUUGAAGGAGCAGAGAAUAAAGCAGCCUGGAUCUGUCGGCACUUGAAACUGAUCACAAGCUCAGGAGAAGCCCUGGUAGCAAAUGCUCCCCCAAGCAACUCGACACCAAGAGCGGAGAGCAGUCCCCACCAUACUUCUUACAGAGCUUCCCCUGUAAUUGGAGAAUACGUCCCCCAGCGGACACAGGCUCCAGCCUGCCAUCCGAGGGGCAGCUGACAGAACCCAGGCUGGCCAGCCAGAGACCGGUAGCUGAAGCCUACCGCCCAGAACAGUCCAUCUCUUCUGCUAUCGUUGCCCUCCAAUAAACAACACACUCUGGCUGGCAAAGCAGUCCAUUCCCUCUUUGCUGACACAUUUCCAAGAGCUACCAGAGGCAAGAGCACUUAAACCAACUUCUGCCUCUGAGGGCAGGAACCUAUGGCUCUUUGCCCCUGAAAAUUGCAAACACCCCCGGCUCAGUCUAGCCUUUCUUUCCAGUGAGGUAGUGGAGUGACCACGGAGUGAGAGUUGGGCUCUGAAUCCAGCAGGGCAGGCGAGCCACUGGUCUCCAUCAGGGCCAGCAGCACUGCCUCUACCUUUCUCUGAGCUACUUCCAAGUGGACUUCAAGCGUGGAGUAGUCCAGACCGCAGAUGCCGGUCAGUGGGGGUAGGAGAAUGAACUUGGUUUCUCCCCAAAACUACUUCACCUUCCGUGAGUGAGUCCGUUCUGAAGAGCAUUUUAAAAAAGUCAACUCAGGUUUUUCCUAGACACAGAAGUACCCAGAGAAUCCUUAAUUCUGAAGUCACCAUGUUGGAACAUCCUUGGCUACCUAAUUACACACCCGGUUCCUGCUACCAGACCCCUUUGUAAAGCAGCUUUCAGAGGGCAGGGUUGUAUUUAGGGGAUGCAGCAUGACCAAGUCUAUAAUCAUCUCGAAAGUACUGAGAUCCUGGUAUGUUCAUGAAAGUGGCCCUUCAUUUCAGGGUUACAUUUCCACAUGUGGAUUUGAUCCAUGAAAUAACCUUCCCUUUUGCCAUUUCAUACUAUUACAAGCAAUACAGAUUAACCAAACUCUUCGCUGAAGAGCUAAAGUCACUACAACUGGGGUGGCUAAAGGAAAGGCUGAAUUAGGCUCCCAAGACCCAAGAGAUUUGCAACCUUUAUGUUUCAAGUACUUUUUCCAAAACCUGCAGAGACACUUCACAUACUACAACGGGCAGCACAUGUCAGAACUAUUCUGGCCGUCAGAAAUGAAUGUGAUUCAACCUUGGAGAACAAGCGGUGCCAGCAGCCCCGGGGACUGACCUGUUGUUUGCUUUUGUUUUCUGUAGCUGCUCGUCCUGCCUCGCAUACCACUCUUCUAGCUCCUUUAUUGCUUUUUCUUUCCACUCUGCUUCUUGCUUCCGAGAAUUGGCAUCUUUGAAGGGAAGGAAAAGAAACACAAAUGAAGCAAAACACAAACUGAAGUUUGCUCCAUCAAUGUCUUUUGGUCUUAUUAAACUUACGGUGUGUGUGUAUAUGUGUGUGUGUUGGAGGGAUAAUAAUCAGAAGGGAAGAAAAAGUUCUAUUUCCCUAUUUGUACAUCCAGUCUCUGAUCCCAGUUGUUUGACAUUCUCUCUCAGUCCACUGACAUCUUAGUGGAUUCACCAGUUUUGGGGUUUCUUUUCAGGGUAGGGGAGAGGAGGAUACAUAGAUAAAAGCCUUCGGGGGCACCAACUAGGGAAAAAGCAGUUAAGAGAAUUUUUUUUUUUUUUUUUUAAGAUUUAUUUGAGAGAGCGCAUACGCACAAGAGUGGGGAGUUGGGGGGGGCAGAGGGAGAGAAAGUCUUAAGCAGACUCUGCCCUGAGAUCACUGGCUAAAAUCAAGAAUCAGGUGCUCCACCGACUGAGCUACCCAGACGCCCAGGAGAAUUCUUUAAUAAUUAUGCUGCCAAUAUUAGUUCAGGGUGGACCGUUGAUAUUAGAUAAUCUUUGAACAAAAUCUUCUUAGAAAAUGUAAGACCCCAGCUCUGCCAGUCGAUGGUUUUGUAAAACACAAGGUGGCACUCUCUUAACUGAACAUGGUAGAAGCACUUCUAUGAAGCAGAAAGCUAUUGUUAAAAUUACCAGAGGUAGAGAGGAUUCAGGUACCAGGGAACAGAACAUAGAUGUUAAAAGUUGAGGGGGACCACAAAACAUCUAUUCCUUCUUAGACUGCAGAGUGAGUUUGUGGCAGAGCUAGGACAGAACUAAAAAAGCUCUAACGGAGAGGACUGCAGGGGGUUGAGGUGGGGUGGCAGAAUCAUUAGCAGUUAUCCAGAAGGUUCUAGAAUGAGAGAGAAAACAAACUUAGCAAGUUUGCCAGACUGGAUUUUCAAAUAUGACAACUAGCUAAGAAGACCAAGUCAAUAGAUAGCAAGAGACAGAAAUGCACAUCCUAGCUACCGCUGCAGGUGACAUGUGAAGUUACCCUGAUAUUUCACCUGAAACACAUUCUUAAGCAUCCUCUCUGGCAGAUGUUUUGUAACAGACCUCUCCCUUUAAUCUUUACAACAAUCCCGAGAAGGUAAACUCUAGACCCAUAUUCAGCACUGAGAAAAACUAUAGCUCAGAAAGUUUGAGUAACCUUUCCUAACGUAAGUAGCAGAGCUAAGAUUCAAACCCAGGUCUGACUUUGAAGCUUACACAUUCUUUCUUCAUUAAGCUGCCUCCGAAGGGAGGGAUGGAAAGGAAAACCUAGAAACAAUCACAAGAUGUGACUAGAAGGUGGUCACCAGUGAUCCAGACAAGAGUCGGGACAGCGCAGAGCCAGAGCCCAACCUGUAACUAGCUCACAUCCCGGAAGAGUAGAAAGCAGUGGUGGUGGCGGCGAGUGAAGGGAAGAAAUGAAGCACUUUAGGGCAUUUUUAGGUCCUUUCCAAGAAUGUCUUACAGUAACAACCUGCAGAAGGCUGUGUCUGUAACUACUGAAAUAGCUUGUUAGCAGCUAGAAACUCCCCCCAGAGUUUCAGAUGAUAAAGAACCUGUUACCCUGUUAUUUAACUUACCAGAAGGUGACCUAUCAAUUUUUUUUUUUGAGAGAUGGGGGGGGACCCACAAAGGGAGAGAGGGAGAGUCUUGAGGCUUCACGCCCAGCGUGGAGCCCAACAUGGGGCUCAAUCUCACAACCCUGAGAUCAUGACCUGAGCCACCCAGGCGCCCCACUCAGAAUUCUUUUACUCGGAUUUCCACUGAUGAGUCAAGUCUAUACAGCAGACUUCUAGUAUGUGUCCGUGGCAUUAAGUAGAAGUGGAAUGGAGGGCGCUAGGAUGCGGCGGGAGAUGCUGUGGGCUGGCAGCACAUGUGGACGAGAAACCGAAAAAUACUAAGGUUAAAAUCUCCUUUUCAAAAGUGAUGAAAUCACUUCUGAAACACUACUUUUUGAUUGGAGAGUAUUUCCUUUCUUUGUAAAGAUUUUUUUUAAGUUUUAAUAUACUAGGAAUAAAAUAGCACAGAAAUUUCUCUCUGAAAAAUCUGAAUAAAAAUUGUAACCAUCUGCACAGAUUGUAGUUACUGCAUAAAACCAUCCCUUUAAAUUGUCUUCUUGCUUUUACAGAUUUUUGAAAAAAGUGACACUGGCAAUAAGAAUUUAGAAUUCUGGGACAUCUGGGUAGCUCAGUUGGUUAAGCGUGUGCCUUCGGCUCAGGUCAUGAUCCCAGGGUCCUGGGAUUGAGCCCUGCAUCGGGCUCCCUGCUCAGCAGGAAGCCUGCUUCUCCCUCUCCCUCUGCUGUUCCCCCCUGCCCCCUGCUUGUGCUAUCUCGGUCUCUCUCAAAAUCUUUAAAAAAAAAAAAAAAGUAAUUUAGAGUUCUUAAAUGCUUAGCUCAGUAGGACAAAGAUCCAAGUGACAAUAUGAUCUGCAUCUGGGCAUAAGAAGAGGUAGGGAAGGCUGAAGAGUCCCCUUGGAGAGCAGGGCACACUGAUAGCCAUCUUCUUGGGCAGUCCUUCUUACUGUCCAUGGAAAAGAAAACUCUGAGAACGCAGUCACCAGCUAAGCUGAAAACCACGCACACUGGUUCUCUAUAUUUAGCAUCUUGUGCUUUCUCACAGUUUUUGCAAAGAAAAAAAGAGGAAACUGAAGAAACACCUAGUUCACAGACCAAUUUAAUUCAAUUGCAAAGCCAAAUAUUUGACUUCAGAAAAGCAUCGUAAGAAAACACUUCAUGGAAUAUUCCCAAAGUGCCCAAUCUGAUCACUGAAGGGGGGGGGGGGGGGGGAGGAGGCAAUUUUCCCAGACACCAACAUGACCAAAGUGUAUUGUCUCCAUGGAGAAGAUAACUUUGCUAAACUUUGGGUAAAGAGAAAAGAUGAAAGUUGGGUUCUGUAACCUGACAAAUACUAGUACCAGCAAAGUCCUGCCUCCACCCGCUCAGAAGACACACACAAGGAACAAGCCACGACUAAAGCUACCAGCAUCUCAUGAAGACAGUUUCCAUCUUUGUAAAGCUGCGCUAUCCAGUACAGAAGCUCCUAGCCACAUGUGGCUACAUAUUAAAAUUAAAAAUUCUUUCCCAGUCAUACUAGUCACAUUUCAAGUGCUUAAGAGCCCCAUGUGGCUAGUGGCUACCAUACGGGACAGCACAGAUCUGUGAUACUUCCAUCCAAGAAAUGCUAGCAGAGAGUGCCAUAAAGGGUCAAACAGAAGUGUGCCCUUUGUUCUGAGAGCCACAUAAAACUGGGCUGAAAGAGAACCGAUUUAGCACUAACUGGGUCCUAUUUCUAGGUGUCAGUUAACGCUAUUUGAAAAACAAGGAGUCAGUUUUUACUAAUUCAGUGGUUCCCAUGAAGGACUAAUAAUGCUGACGUCGUUGGUACACAGAAGAACAUCGUUAUUUCCAGAUAUACAAUAAAAUAUUUAAGCAUGAAA